UCCAAUUGAAACGUGCAUUGGGAUCCCUCCUCAUUAAGCGGGUCGGCCCAUCUCUCCCAUUCCCCAUCUCCCAUCUGAGCAUCUCUCUCACCCCAAACAACACCCACCCGGCGACGGACGCAUUCGAAGUCAGCCGCCACUAUGGUGGCGAUGGCGGGGCAGGAGCGCAAGGCAAUCGAUCUGGAGGAUGGGUGGAAUUUCAAGCAGAAGGGCAAGAUCUACAACCUCAUCAAUAUCCCCGAGCGCAAGCCAGAACUACAGUUUAGUUCUAUAGUUUCCGGCCAUGUUCCUCUCUUUUUGUCGCGCAGGACAAAUUGGGAGCCUUCACCAUGGCCGCCAAUAUCCAUCUACGGGUACAUCUUGCUCCCUUACUAGCUGCUCAAUAUUCUAGCCUAAUGAUGUGUUUAUUAAUCCCCAAUUCAUGAAUUCUUGCUUCCUAUCCUUUCAAUUUGUUCAUGUACCAGAUUCAAGGGGCAAUUACCUCACACAUCUUGAUCUGUCAUCUCCUUUUUCCGAGUCAGGUUUGAUGAAGAUUUGGAUAACUAGAUAGAUUUGUGUGGAAAUUCUGUACACUUCGCUGAUGUUCGCCGACAUGCGAUAGCUACAGAUGCAGCCAAAUUAAUUUACCAUGCAUGUUCCGCAAAUUUUCAUUUAAUGGUUUUAUAUCGUAUAUGGGGCAAUGAUUUCCUUAUAUAUAAAUUCUUACGAUAAGAUUGUGUGCGUUUGUAGAUCAGGCAUCACAAAUAGUUGAAUAAAAGCGUCAGGUAUGAGCUACUACAUUAAUUGAUUAUGCAUUGUGAGAAUAGCUGGAGCGCUUGUGGCCAUACUGCUCCAUGUCUUAUGUAGAAUGAAUAUUGCUAUCAUGAUUGCACUGUAUGCCAAGUGAAUAUUUAGUCCGCCUAGAUUAAUGUUAGGAUGCAGCAUGUGCUUUAUGAUCCCAACUAGAAAUUGGACAAGAACUAUUUUUUUGGUCAGUGAUGGUCUUUUCUCUCUGUUAUGUAAAUACGUGAAAUAUUUAAAAGGUGUUUUUCUUAUUUCAAGUAAUGCGUUAUUUAGCAGUCCCAUUUAUAGAACUAUUUACUUCCCCAUUGCAAAAGUGUAUAUUUGACAGGUAAGAGUAGAGACGGUCUAGCAUCCAGUAGAUGUGAACACGAUUUCAGUUUUGCCAAAUGUCUUAACUUCAGUCAUCACGUUAAUUAACCCUUUUUAUCUCCAUAUAUAUGGCUAUCUCUGUCAGCAUUUUCAACUUAUGAAGCUGACAAGAUAACAUUCUUAUUUAUAAAUGAAAAUAGUGAAGCCUCUCCAUGACUUUUGAGGGGGAAAAAGGUUGGCCUGCAUGUUUCUUAAUUUUGAAGGAUUGCUACAGACGCAAGUGUAUUGGAUAAUUUUGAAGAAUUGCUUCCGACCGCAGGUGUAUUGGUGGCCAUCUCCAGAUCUCACCUGGAGCAGCAUCUGUUUUCUAUCUCGCCGUCAUCUAUGGCUUAAGAAUUCCAGUUUAUGCAUAUUUGUUGCAUUUGUUCUCACGCUGAACAUUCAACUUGUCUAUCUUCUUUCGUGAUUAAACUUUGCAGGCCGUAUAGGACGGGUUAUACAAUCCUAUGUUGUUUUGAAUCAACUCUUGUGUGUAGGAAUGGAACGUAGACCAUGGAAAAUGCGGCAUAACGGCAAAAGAACUAUUCCGUAGGAUACUUACACUUAGCCGCCACUUAGCAGCUAAACCACGAGCGCUUAAAUAUUUUUUGCAUUUUAACACAUAUUUCUCGUACUUAAUUGGUUCUGAAGGUCACAACUACGUACAGCUGGUCAAUGAACUUGGUGGGUAAUAUAGAUCUUCCAAUUAACAAAAUUUGUUUAAUUAAAUGUAAAUUGAAUAUAGUUCUUAUUUUACAUUAUUUAUUAUUACGUGGUUUUCCGUAUUUUUUGGUCUAGGUAGUGAUGACUUCCUAAAUUUUCUCACCAUUUUUUUCCUUCUUUUGGUCUCGCACAUGUAAUCUUAAAGGAUUGGAUUUACACCAAGGCAUAUCCAUCUCACUACAUUAGCCUCCCAA